CAGAUGGCAGCAUGAGCCUGGGUAUCCGGGUGAGCACUUGAAAUGUCAAAGCCAUGCAGCAAACCCUCCACAAACACCAAUUUGACACUUUCACCCCUCUUGUUACAAGCAGAGAUCUGAAACAUCUAAGCAGGUGUGUCACUUUAUUUUUAUUUUUUUAAGCGAAGGGAGAACAGCCAGUUCAUUUGCAUGAUCUCUAGCAGUUCUUUUCCAACGGAGCCAGACAGAGAUACAUGUUUAAGUGGUUGUCAUGGAAACCAGAGAGCAUUGCUCUCCCCCAAGGUCUGAAAGAAGGAUGAUGAAAAGUUUAAGCAAUCACCAUGGAAACGUAGAGGAGAUACAAGGCGGGUUCAGAUCCCAGCACACUAACAGAUCAGUCUUCAGGUGCUGAGGUCCUGGUGGAAGGUGAAUUCUGACUAUUCACUGUGGCUUCCAGAAUCAGGGCUGACCCAGAGGCCACAUCCACAGUCAUGGGCUCAGAGCAUCCCAGGGGCUCAGCAGUGAGUUUCCUCAGCAUGGCAGAAGCCCACAGAUCUGCUGUCACAAAGUGGAACCCUGCUCAGGUCUGCAGGAGAAAAGACAUUCGAAGCCCAGCCUGGUCUUUCUCUGGUCUUGACCAAGAUGUGUUCCCUUUCAUGUCUGUGAAUAACCAAAAGAAGCAAGAGGUUCCUGCCUCCCAUCACUCUCAUUUAAAUGUGUGUCGCCAAAGCCAUGCCUUUUACUUUGAAGUGGCACCAUCCCACAUCCUCCUGCACAGCCUUGAUUCUGCACCAUCCCACACGCCCUUCGUGCCAGGAACUUCAGAUGCUGUCACUAUUCCAAGACGGCCAUGAGGAGCAUGGGGCCUCAGCACCACCCUGCCACACACAGCCCCAUCACAAGUAACGCGGCCCGGGUUAGCGCAGUCUCCCAACUGGUCAACCUGAUCAGCAAAGGGUCACGACUCAGACUGGCCUCACCCUCAACUGGGAAACACCCCACAUCCUCUGUCAAUGGUUGACACCUCUUCACUGAAGCCUGAAAGACUGGAAAAUGGUUUGAUGGGCAAAGCAAAGGUCAGAGUAAAACCUAUACGUGUGACCUCUGUAUGCACUGUCUUGAGAGGUGACCAGAAACAGAUUGUUCGUGAAGGUCUGCAGUGGCUGAAAGUCUCAUCACACAGGAACAACUAGUUUCAGACUUUUCUGACCCACUUUACAUCAUGACUCAACACACACUUAGGUAACAAAGUUUCACCAUUCACUGCUUGUGCUUAAUCCAGAAGAUGCACUCUGAGAUGAAGUACUGUCUGUCAUUAUUUUAAAUGCCAGCCAUAUUUCAGCAAAUCAAUCUCCUGAUCCACGAAUUGAUCUCACCCUCUCUAUGAAGAUCUCUGCUAGGAGGAAAGCUCUUUUUGAUAUCUUAUCUGCAGAGGUUACAAUGGCUAAAAGAACAAAAUCCACUUCUUAACUCCCCAUCAUGCAAUUACAGACCUACUGUUCAGCAUUCACCCCAUUUCUGCUCCUUGGGCCCUGUCUACGUCAGUCACUUGUGC
rnacentral:lncRNA from 1 species